rnacentral:rRNA from 1 species
AUUGAACGCUGGCGGCAGGCCUAACACAUGCAAGUCGAACGAGUGGCGGACGGGUGAGUAAUGUAUGGGAAACUGCCUGAUGGAGGGGGAUAACUACUGGAAACGGUAGCUAAUACCGCAUACCAUCGGAUGAGCCCAGAUGGGAUUAGCUAGUAGGUGGGGUAAAGGCUCACCUAGGCGACGAUCCCUAGCUGGUCUGAGAGGAUGACCGGCGACCCGGUAACUGGGGCACGGUCCAGACUCCUACGGGAGUCCGCAGUGGGGAAUAUUGCACAAUUGGCCAAAGCCUGAUGCAGCCAUGCCGCGUGUAUGAAGAUGUCCGUCUGGUUGUAAAGUAGUUUCCGCGGGGAGGCGUUACCCGCAGAAGAAGCGCCGGCUAACUCCGUGCCAGCAGCCGCGGUAAUAC